GGAAGCUACUGAUAAGAAGAUUGAGCAAAAGAUAGAUCAGAAAAUGGAUGAAAUGAAGAAAGUUCUAUUGGAAGAGAUGCGAAAUAUAGUGAGUGGAUUUUUUUCCUGAUAAGGUAAAAGGGAACUGUUAAUGAGGAAGUUUAAGUGAAUGUGGUGCAAGAAGGGCAAGAAAGUAAAGGGAUCUUACCAUUUCCUAAGGUAGCAGCAAAGGGAAAUUAGAAAGAGCUAGUAAGUGUAUCUUCUUUUAUGGGA
rnacentral:misc_RNA from 1 species